UCUGCUUUUACUGAGAGUUAAACCAGAAGGGUUAAAAAAUGGGGCUGGGAGUCGGGCAUUCCCUGAUUGGGUGGACAAGGGGCUGCUCACUAACUGGUUGUGUAAGUUCUUGCUUCACUGUAUACCUUCCUUGUCAUCUCUAACACAGAUGGACUUCAUUAGCUCUUUUCCUGGGGUUUGAAUAAAAAUGCAAACCAAGUCACCUGGAGCGUGUGCUACGGAGUAACAGCCCUGGGAAAUUCUUGCUCUCGGCUAGGAUACAAUGGAGUAACCCAUUGUGGAGAAAAUGCCUCUGUGUGGAGCUCUGGGAAUCCUUUGGAAACUACUAAGAUCCAACUGAAGUUCUGGCUCCUUCCUACCAACUUCAUCUGACAAUGGCCAGCUAAGAGUAGCCUUGGCCCACUACUGCGUGUCAAGAGUAAGAUCCAAGAAGGGCCUCCACACCGCAAGUGCGCAGCCUGCUUAGCGGUGGUGGGCUUACCGCGGGAGAGCAGACAGGCCUCAGGUGGUGAGCCGGGGCUGCUCUGCACCAGUUCCAGAAGUCAUCACCCAGCUCUCCCUGAGACCUCCUGCCCCCUGCAAGCGGGAAGUGUCGCCACCCUGGCUGCCUCUGACACAGUCAUUUUUCUCCCGUUCAACCUCACUACAUCUUUCAUUCCUGCCACAUGAAAACAUUUUUUACAUCCUUAGCAUCUUCAUCAUUUCAGGCUUGUCAAUUCCCAUUUUCCCUAAUUGAUAAAUAAAUCAAAACCUGAAAGGAAGCGAAAGUUGGGAAGAGCCUUUGGCCCUUCCAAGAA